UGGAGCCUACGGGAGGCAGCAGUGGGGAAUAUUGCACAAGGGGGGGAACCCUGAUGCAGCAAUGCCGCGUGAAGGAUGAAGGUUUUCGGAUUGUAAACUUCUUUUGUACGGGACGAAGAAAGUGACGGUACCGUAAGAAUAAGCCACGGCUAACUACGUGCCAGCAGCCGCGGUAAUACGUAGGUGGCAAGCGUUAUCCGGAUUUACUGGGUGUAAAGGGAGCGUAGGCGGCGCGUUAAGUCUGAUGUGAAAACCCGAGGCUCAACCACGGGAGUGCAUUGGAAACUGGCGGGCUGGAGUGCCGG
rnacentral:rRNA from 1 species